GAUGAACGCUGGCGGCGUGCCUAAUACAUGCAAGUCGAGCGAACAGAUGAGGAGCUUGCUCCUCUCACGUUAGCGGCGGACGGGUGAGUAACACGUGGAUAACCUACCUAUCAGUCUGGGAUAACUUCGGGACACCGGCGCUAAUACCGGAUAAUAUACUGAACCGCAUGGUUCAAUAGUGAAAGACGGUUUUGCUGUCUCUUAUCGAUGGAUCCGCGCCGCAUUAGCUAGUUGGUGAGGUAACGGCUUUCCACGGCGAGCGUGCCUAGCCGACCUGAGGGGGGGGACGGCGACUCAGGAAGUGAGACGCGGUACAGACUCUUACAGGAGGCAGCGGUAGGGAAGCUUCGGAAAUGGGGGAAAGCCUGACGGAGCAACGCCACGUGAAUGAUGAAGGUCUGCGGAUCGUAAAACUGUGUUAUUAGGGAAGAACGAAUGUGUAAGUAACUAUGCACGUCUUGACGGUACCGAUUCAGAAAGCCACGGCAAACUACGU
rnacentral:rRNA from 1 species